GAACUGCGAUACGUAAUGUGACUUGCAGAAUCUCGUGAAUCAUCAAAUCUUUGAACGCAAAUGGCGCUCCCGAGCAGGGAGCACGCCUGUCUGAGUAUCAUAUCCCUCUCUCUCUCCGCCCCCCCUGGGGGCGCAGGACGGUGGGGGUCUCGCGGCGCGCCCAGAGCGCGGCGCGCGUCCCCUCAAACUCACACCCACCCGUGGGAACGACCCCGGGGCCUGCAGGCCGCCGCUGCGCUGUAAGCUUCACCGCUCCUCGCAGAGGCGCCGCAGCCCCCCCGGUGCGUCCGCCCCCCGCAUCCACACCGUGAUCUCAGAUCAGGCGAGACGACCCGCUGAACUUAA
rnacentral:misc_RNA from 1 species